rnacentral:lncRNA from 1 species
UGGCAUAUUAUAAAAUCUGUCCCAUAUGAUAUUUUAUAGUAUCUAUGCCAUAUGAUUUUUGUUCUGAGAUGUAUGAUUCACCAAGGUGGUUGAUUUCAUGGGAUCGACAUAUGUGUUUUAGGACCAACAAGAUUCUAGCUAGAUUGUCCAGCUUGAAGAUCGUCUCAGCAUUUCAUUGGAUCGAGGAGAUAACAGCAAGAUAGCUCGUUGGCAUUUACUAGCAUUAUGGGUAAGGAUGCAAAUAGGUCAGAUCG